rnacentral:misc_RNA from 1 species
CCAAUGAGCGAGAGGCCCCCGGGCUUCUCGUACUGCCUGCUUGGCCAUGUUAACCCGUGGCCAACUGGUUAACCCUUUGUGAACCAAAAAACCUUUCGCUUCGGCAGCUGGGUCCUAACAGACCUGUCAGCCUGCCGCUAGCACCUUCAAAAACUUGUUGUCAAAACAUUGUCUGAUAACCAAAUUUUCGAAUGAAAAUUA